rnacentral:RNase_P_RNA from 1 species
UGAGUCGGCCAGGUAACCGCAGCAGAGUUCGCUUUGUUGAGGAAGGUCGGGGCUCCGCAGGACAGAAUGCUGGCUAACAGCCAGUCGGGGCGACCCGCAGGAAAGUGCCACAGAGAACAGACCGCCGAUGGCUCGGCCCCCAGGUUCGCUUGGGAAAAUGAGCACAGGUGAGGGUGAAACGGUGCGGUAAGAGCGCACCAGCGGCCAAGGCAACUUGGCUGGCUAGGCAAACCCCAUUCGGAGCAAGGCCAAAGAGGGAGAGAGCGGUCCGUUCGUUGACACUCCCGGGUAGGCCGCAAAGAUGGAUGGUUGCCCAACCGGAUACCCGCAAGGGUCCGGCAGACAGAACCCCGCCUAUUGCCGACUCGCCAU